rnacentral:rRNA from 1 species
AAACCAGCACCUCAAGUGGUCAGGAUGAUUAUUGGGCCUAAAGCAUCCGUAGCCGGCUUAGCAAGUCUCCUGUUAAAUUCAGCGACCUAAUCGUUGAGCCGCGGGAGAUACUACUAGGCUAGGAGGCGGGAGAGGCCGACGGUACUUCCGGGGUAGGGGUGAAAUCCUAUAAUCCCGGGCGGACCACCAGUGGCGAAGGCUGUCGGCUAGAACGCGCUCGACGGUGAGGGACGAAAGCUGGGGGAGCGAACCGGAUUAGAUACCCGAGUAGUCC